GAUGAACGCUGGCGGCGUGCCUAAUACAUGCAAGUCGAGCGAACAGAUGGGGAGCUGGCUCCUCUGACGUUAUCGGCGGACGGGUGAGUAACACGUGGAUAACCUACCUAUAAGACUGGGAUAACUUCGGGAAACCGGGUCUAAUACCGGAUAAUAUAUUGAACUGCAUUGUUCAAUAGUGGAAGACGGUUUUGCUGUCACUUAUAGAUUGAUCCGCGCCGCAUUAGCUAGUUGGUAAGGUGACUGCUUACCCAGGCAACGAUGCGGAGCCGACCUGAGAGGGUGAAUGGACACCCUGGCACUGAGAAUCGGCCCAGACUCCGACGGGAGGACGCAGUAGGGAAUCUUCCGCGAUGGGGCAAAGCCUGACGGAGCAACGCCGCCUGAGGGAUGAACGUCCUAUGCUCGUAAAGCUCUGUUAUCGGGGAAGAACAAAUGCGUAAGUACCUAUGCACGUAUUGACGGUACCUAAUCAGAAAGCCACGGCUAACUACGUG
rnacentral:rRNA from 1 species